rnacentral:lncRNA from 1 species
GAAACAGUGUUACUAAAUUUUUUACCCCAAUAAAACAGACAAGUAAUUUCUGACCCCAAUAAAACUCUUUAAAGGAAGUUUAAAGGUACUUACGAUGUUUUGUUUUGCUGCAGGCAGGAUAAGAUAUCCUUCAGCUUGUAUCUUGCUUGAUAAACGUUUUGGUCCAGCAUCCAUCUUCUUGUUCUUUUCUCUUCAGCACUCAUCAUCGAGUAACCGUCAACCACUAUUCCUUGGCUGUCCUACUUGUCAUAGUUUUCCCUCUAUUCCUCAGGGUCCAAGCCUUGGCUGAGAGGGUAUUUGGUGAAAUCAUAUACGCGUUUGAUGAACACCAUAAUGUGCUUCACCUGUUGGUUCCAAGACACAAGUAAAUUAAAACUCAAACAAACUAAGAGAACAAGCAACAAACAAAAAACAGGGUAAGAAGUUUACUGCUUCUUACCCUAAUAAAUCAGUUACAACUCACCACUGCCUUUGCAUUCUGAAAGUGGUUGUUGGUGUUGGCAGAGUAAUCUUUCAUUGGCGGUAGCAUUGAGUUCAGGUGAUAGAAGCAUCGAGCUUCAUUGUCAAUCAGGACCAAGGUAUAGUGGUGGCUAACCCCGUGAUGUACCGGAAUGAAAACCAGGUCCUUACUGAAGAUGGACCACAGAGGAUUAAUAAUAGAAAGCUCUCACUACCAGGACAAGUACUUUAGCCGACGAAAUAUUUUCGUCGGCUUGUUAUCCUAAUUCGUCGGCUAAGACCUUAGCCGACGAAGGCUCGUCGGUGAUGGCUUUAGCCGACGAAUCUAAAGACCAUCGUCGGCUAUUGUCCAUACUUUAGCCGACGAACUAUUUUUCGUCGGCUAUUGUUCCAGCUUUUAGCCGACGAACUAUUUUUCGUCGGCUAUUGUUCCAGACUUUAGCCGACGACGUCCUGUGUCGUCGGCUAUACUCUCAGACUUAACCCGACGAACAGAAUAUUCGUCGGCUUUACUGACAAACUUUAGCCGACGAAUAUCUCUGUUUCGUCGGCUAAAGUAUAUAAUUAAAAUAUUUAAAAAUAACUAUAGCCGACGACAUAGAUUCUGUUUCGUCGGCUUUAGUAGUGUUUAGCCGACGAAACUUACCAUAAUUCGUCGGCUAAACCCUUUGGAAAAAAAAAUUACUAUAGCCGACGAAUUGUG